rnacentral:rRNA from 1 species
GGAUCCAGACUUUGAUUAUGGCUCAAGAUGAACGCUGGCGGCGUGCUUAACACAUGCAAGUCGAACGAAGCACUCUAUUUGAUUUUCUUCGGAAAUGAAGAUUUUGUGACUGAGUGGCGGACGGGUGAGUAACGCGUGGGUAACCUGCCUCAUACAGGGGGAUAACAGUUGGAAACGACUGCUAAUACCGCAUAAGCGCACAGGAUCGCAUGGUCUGGUGUGAAAAACUCCGGUGGUAUGGGAUGGACCCGCGUCUGAUUAGCCAGUUGGCAGGGUAACGGCCUACCAAAGCGACGAUCAGUUGCCGACCUGAGAGGGUGACCGGCCACAUUGGGACUGAGACACGGCCCAAACUCCUACGGGAGGCAGCAGUGGGGAAUAUUGCACAAUGGGGGAAACCCUGAUGCAGCGACGCCGCGUGAGCGAAGAAGUAUUUCGGUAUGUAAAGCUCUAUCAGCAGGGAAGAAGAAUGACGGUACCUGACUAAGAAGCACCGGCUAAAUACGUGCCAGCAGCCGCGGUAAUACGUAUGGUGCAAGCGUUAUCCGGAUUUACUGGGUGUAAAGGGAGCGCAGGCGGUGCGGCAAGUCUGAUGUGAAAGCCCGGGGCUCAACCCCGGUACUGCAUUGGAAACUGUCGUACUAGAGUGUCGGAGGGGUAAGUGGAAUUCCUAGUGCAGCGGUGAAAUGCGUAGAUAUUAGGAGGAACACCAGUGGCGAAGGCGGCUUACUGGACGAUAACUGACGCUGAGGCUCGAAAGCGUGGGGAGCAAACAGGAUUAGAUACCCUGGUAGUCCACGCCGUAAGCGAUGAAUACUAGGUGUCGGGGAGCAUUGCUCUUCGGUGCCGCAGCAAACGCAAUAAGUAUUACACCUGGGGAGUACGUUCGCAAGAAUGCAACU